AAAAGUCGUAACAAGGUUUCCGUAGGUGAACCUGCGGAAGGAUCAAUAACGGAUCUCUGUGCUGUGGUGUGGGAGUGGGGGGCGUGAGCUCUCUAACUCUUGCACCACAUCAUAUAUUGACUCGGGCUCUCUCCUUGGGGGAGCCCCGAGACAUUCACGCUUGUCGGGUAUGACUGAGUAUAUUUGUGAUAUAAAUGAGACAACUUUUAACAAUGGAUCUCUUGGCUCUUG
rnacentral:misc_RNA from 1 species